GUGGAACUAACUGACUUUCAGGUCCAGAAAGCAGUGGAACUAACUGGCUUCCAGGUCCAGAAAGCAGUGGAACUAACUGGCUUCCAGGUCCAGAUGUGAAUUUGAGGGAAAAGGGGGCCAUUUGAGACACAGACAUGUUUCUAAACCAUAUUUUCCUCUGGGUGCUGAACUGGAGAGUCCAACAGCGUCUAACUGAGUCACUGGCUAUAAUGGUUAUUAUAAAAACUGUCUGGAACCAUGGAACCAUAGUUUAGAACUGGAUAGAACCAUGGAACCAUAGUUUAGAACUGGUUAGAACUGGAUAUAACCAUGGAAUCAUAGUUUAGAACUGGUUAGAACCAUGGAAUCAUAGUUUAGAACUGGUUAGAACUGGAUAGAACCAUGGAACCAUAGUUUAGAACUGGAUAGAACCAUGGAACCAUAGUUUAGAACUGGUUAGAACUGGAUAGAACCAUGGAACCAUGGUUUAGAACUGGUUAGAACUGGAUAGAACCAUGGAACCAUAGUUUAGAACUGGAUAGAACCAUGGAACCAUAGUUUAGAAGUGGUUAGAACUGGAUAGAACCAUGGAACCAUAGUUGAGAACUGGUUAGAACUGGCUAGAACCAUGGAACCAUAGUUUAGAAGUGGUUAGAACUGGAUAGAACCAUGGAACCAUAGUUUAGAAGUGGUUAGAACUGGAUAGAACCAUAGAACCAUAGUUUAGAAGUGGUUAGAACUGGAUAGAACCAUGGACCCAUAGUUUAGAAGUGGUUAGAACUGGAUAGAACCAUAGAACCAUAGUUUAGAAGUGGUUAGAACUGGAUAGAACCAUGGAACCAUGCCUGUCUGUCUGUCUGGCCUAGAUUGUAACACACUACAGUAAUCUCUACACCCUCUGACUAGAACACACACACACCGAUGACGUGAUGCAGAAUGUUUGGGAUUCUAGAGAAAACAUUAAUGAUCUGAACCACGUGUGUCUGUGAUGUAAUACACAUAAUACACGUCUUCGUGAUGAUGAAGAGCACAACUCUUUACUGAUGAAACACUCGCCUGUCUGAAGCUCUAAGCAGUCUAACAUCGGGCGCUGCUAUUGGCCCAUGAGCACAAAGGGGGAAUCUGAUUGGUUGUGGCGGUGCCUUGCUUGGUUUUCUAUGUAACUCUGUUUCUUGGCAUAUUUAAUGAAACUGUUUUUUCUUUUUCAUAAUGUGGCAUUUGUAUUUCAACCUAAAGCCCAAUAAAGCUUCACAGUGUAAACGUU